ensembl:lncRNA
CUGAUGGACCAGGCAUGUAUGAAGAAGAAGUUGGUCACAUUGAAGCAGGAGAGCAAGGAGUUACAGCGAUAUUUGUUUGAGUUGAACCCGAAUGCUGAAGACGAACAGGAGAAGACCAGCAACCUCCAGACCCAGCAAAAUGUGAUAACACCAUUUGAGAGACAUCUGAGGGGACUGCCUUGACAUCUCAUGUCCUAGAGGAGAAACAGCACUACAACUGUGUUUCUAAAUGUUCAUUAAGAAAAUGCUGUUAAGAAAUGUUUUUGGUUAUGAUUUUCAUUGAAGUUUUCUUUUUGUUAUAUCAUAGUUAUAUAUUCUUGUAACUGUUUUUCAUUUUUUAUACCAUUUUAGUUGUUCAUUUUAUGCCUG